ACAAAACAGAGGGAAGAAGGAUUGGGGGGCCGGGCGAUGCUCUCAGCUCAGGGAUAUCGCCUAUGCCACCUCCAUAGAGAUCCAAUUCGCGGCGGGCGCGGUAGCUCGUCUGAAGAUAAAUUUAGCACUCUGGGGCACCCGAACUUACUGUCUCCUUGAACGACUCCGCCGCCGCCCAAUCAGCGCCGGAGUUGCUCCCCGCCACCAAUCCGCGCUGAGCAGUGGGGUGGGACCAAAGGGAAGGACCAAGCUCGGUUGAGGCGUUGCCCAGCUGCCGUCGCCCCUGGCAGUCUGCAAUCGUGAGCUGAAGGAGGUUGAGGUGAAUGGCAGACGUGAAGCGAUUGUUUUCAAAUUUCCCUGGGCCCGAGCAGCCCCGGCGUUUGUUUACAGUGUAGAGUCCUGGGUGCUGCGAGAUAGCAUUUUUGAUCCUGUAGGCUGGACUGGCUUUGAGAAAUCUGCGUAUCCACAAGCACUGGGGCUCUGCCCCGGCGGCAGAUUUGAGUGGAUUCGCAGACUCUGGGCUGCUGGUGCUUUCACGCCCUCUUUGUUCCCCAAGCCGCACCCCAGGCCCAGACUGCGCAACCGCCUCCUCUUUUCCUUGUUUUCUCACCAGAAAACUCUCUCUCCCUUCCCCGCCCCUCCCCGACGCUGGCGUGUCGGGGGGCCCUAGCGGGCAGAGCUGGGAGCUGAGCCUGAUCUUGCCGGGGCGCUGCUCUCGGGUGACCCCACAUUGGGUCGGGGAGCCGCGGGUAGGAAUAUGUAGGGAUAGCGGCGUCUCCGCAGUGUCAACGGGAAAGAGGCCGCUUCCUGUGUCUUUGCACCCCUCCCUGGUGGCUCCCUCCUCGGAGGAACGUCCAGCGCUCUGGAACAAUCAGUUUGCUAGCUGUAGCAUCGGGUGUUUUAAGCCCAUUUCUUCUACGCCCAUCCCCUCUUUUUAAAAACAACACAGCAAAAGGCUUCGGGCUGUGUAUUCCGUUAUUCCAUAUUGUGUGAGAUCCGUCGUGGCGACCUGCAGUCUGUUUUUCCAAACUGGCAUCUUAAAAUAUGUACACUUCUUGGAGGGAAUUUGUUAAAAUACGCGUAGCAUUAAACAGUGGGUCCCAUUGUUUGCAAUAUUUUAGAUUUUCGAGGCCCCGUAGAAAUAGCCAAAUGAAAGUUGGAUCUUGUUUUCAGGCGCUGCACCAAUGACAGAAAAUUCCCAACUUGUGGUCAAAAGCAAGGGCAGCUUUUGUUUUUCUUAAAUAUGCUCUUCUUUGAUAUGCGAAUAACUUUCUUAGGCGUUGAAAGAAGUCUAACCUUUUAUUUAACAGAAUUUUCAGGAGGACUGAAAAAUAUGAUUUCCUAGGACUGAUAAUAGAUGUUAACAUUUGGCCCUAAAUGCUUUAAAGUCAUUUCAGCAUCUUCAGAACUUUGCCCUAUGGUAGGCUAUCCAAUCAUUUUAAAAUGAUUCCUCUUAAAUCGGCCUCAUUUGAGCUUUAACCACCGAGGGGAAAAUCAUUUUGGGGAAGGGGCUCAAUUUUACUUGAAGAGCGAAGAAUUUCAUUUUGUAAUUGCAGGAGUUGUCUAGCUUCUUAAUAAUAUUGGAAUAAUAUCCCACAUUUUCAUAUGUUUUAUAUUUCAUAAAAGCCUUUUACAUAUAUGCUCCCGAUUUAAUCUUCACGUAUCUGGUUUACAUCUUCAUGAAUUGGGAAAAUCCAAAACAUUCAGCUGAUAACAAAUUCAACUGAAGUCAAGUCUAGGAUUUAACCUAGGUCCAAAAAUCUGAAGUCUGAUAAUUAAGGGGCUUGAAACAUAAGAACUUUUUCUGUAAUUGAUUAGUUGAUAUGUUAUUAUAGGAUGUUGGUUGCUGAGACAGAUAAGAAAACGUAUAGACAAUGUAGAACUCAGACCAAUAAUGAUAAUGGCUAGCAUUUAUUGAAUAUGCAGUAUUGGCAGAGGCUGUUCUAUCUACACACUUUUUAAAGUACUAGCUCAUUUACUCUUUACAACUCUAUCAGAUGACGAUGCCUAUUUUACAGAUAAGGAAAUUGAGCACAGAUUGGUAAAUAAAUUGCCCAAGUUCCCACAGUUAAUUGUUGGCAGAGCCAAGAUUAAGUGCAGUGAGGUUGUGGGAACUACAGGCCAUGUGUGUCUGGGUGGGGUGUGCUUGUACAUAUUUAUAUCAGGCAGAAAACGAUUUCAAGUAAGAUUACAGUAAUAUAUUGGGUAAGCAGGUAGAGCUUCACCAUGAAAAGGGAACUCGGUUAGUUACUUGGGGCUCAAGUAACUAACCGAGUUACUUCCCGUAAAAUCAUCAUAGGAAGUAGUAACAGGAAUUUUGACUGAUAUCCCAAAUUUGCAGCCUUAGUUGCUGUGAGAGGUCUGAGAUGGCAAUUCUCUUCAUGUUGGUUGCAUGAGUUAAUUUGCACUGCAGUUAGGUUUGCCAGAAGCAGAUGAUGAGACAGGGAGCUCUGGAGUCAGUAUUGUAGGUUGGAGUGCCCCACUCCACCCUUUAUACUCCCCUCUCCCUCAGAUAGUAUAUGGCGGCCAUGGGAAGGGCAGGACUGCAGCUGAGGCAGACCCUGAAUGCGCUGACAGCUGGAGGCCAUCUGCUGAUCACACUACUGGCCGCUGAGCAGGGCAGCAAGUCCUUUCUUGAAGAAGGAUCUGAGUGGCACAUCUCCAUGCCUGCCACAAUGUGUCACCUUUAAUAUAAAGAAGAGAAGAAUGAAUCCCAGAGUUAUCGCAUGACUUUGAUGUCACAUUGAUAACUGGUGACAACGCUGAAAUAGAUCUCAAGGUGUAUGAGGCAUGUCUUAGGAUUUUUUUUUUUUAAUUUCCCAUUGUACUGGACAUUUAACUGUUCAUUUGGCAUAUAUGCCGUAAAUAUUUUUUAAUAAAUUUAUUUAUUUUA